UACGAAGGGGGCUAGCGUUGUUCGGAAUUACUGGGCGUAAAGGGCGCGUAGGCGGCUUCGAUAGUCAGGCGUGAAAUCCCCAGGCUUAACUUGGGAAUUGCGCUUGAUACUGCGAGGCUUGAGUGAGGGAGAGGAUAGUGGAAUUCCCAGUGUAGAGGUGAAAUUCGUAGAUAUUGGGAAGAACACCAGUGGCGAAGGCGGCUAUCUGGACCUCAACUGACGCUGAGGCGCGAAAGCGUGGGGAG
rnacentral:rRNA from 1 species